GACGAACGCUGGCGGCGUGCUUAACACAUGCAAGUCGAACGAAGAGCGACGGAAGCUUGCUUCUAUCAAUCUUAGUGGCGAACGGGUGAGUAACGCGUAAUCAACCUGCCCUUCAGAGGGGGACAACAGUUGGAAACGACUGCUAAUACCGCAUACGAUCUAAUCUCGGCAUCGAGGAUGGAUGAAAGGUGGCCUCUACAUGUAAGCUAUCACUGAAGGAGGGGAUUGCGUCUGAUUAGCUAGUUGGAGGGGUAACGGCCCACCAAGGCGAUGAUCAGUAGCCGGUCUGAGAGGAUGAACGGCCACAUUGGGACUGAGACACGGCCCAGACUCCUACGGGAGGCAGCAGUGGGGAAUCUUCCGCAAUGGACGAAAGUCUGACGGAGCAACGCCGCGUGAGUGAUGACGGCCUUCGGGUUGUAAAGCUCUGUUAAUCGGGACGAAAGGCCUUCUUGCGAAUAGUGAGAAGGAUUGACGGUACCGGAAUAGAAAG
rnacentral:rRNA from 1 species